CAUUUGCCUUAUAAUUGAAGGCUAGUAUGAAUGGUUUGACAAGAAUGUAGCUGUCUCUUUAUAAUUAAACAGAAUUUUAUUUAUAGGUGAAGAAGCCUAUAUCAAAUUAAAAGACAAGAAGACCCUAUCGAGCUUUAAAUAAAUUAGUAGACUAAAUAAUUAAUGGUAUCAGAAAAUUAACUAUUAGAAAUUUUAGUUGGGGCGACUGAGGAACAAAAAAAGCUUCCUUUAAAAAUUAAAAACUAAACAAGUAUGAUCCAAACAUUUUGAUUAAAGGAAUUAGUUACCGUAGGGAUAACAGCAUUAUCUUUUUUAAGAGCUCUUAUCGAAAAAAAGGUUUGUGACCUCGAUGUUGGACCAGAAUAUCCUAAAGAUGCAGGAGUCUUUAAGGGUUGGUCUGUUCGACCAUUAAAAUUCU
rnacentral:rRNA from 1 species